rnacentral:rRNA from 1 species
GACGAACGCUGGCGGCGUGCCUAAUACUUGCAAGUAGAACGCACAGUUUAUACCGUAGCUUGCUACACCAUAGACUGUGAGUUGCGAACGGGUGAGUAACGCGUAGGUAACCUGCCUGGUAGCGGGGGAUAACUAUUGGAAACGAUAGCUAAUACCGCAUAAUAUUAAUUAUUGCAUGAUAAUUAAUUGAAAGGUGCAAUUGCACCACUACCAGAUGGACCUGCGUUGUAUUAGCUAGUAGGUGAGGUAACGGCUCACCUAGGCGACGAUACAUAGCCGACCUGAGAGGGUGAUCGGCCACACUGGGACUGAGACACGGCCCAGACUCCUACGGGAGGCAGCAGUAGGGAAUCUUCGGCAAUGGACGAAAGUCUGACCGAGCAACGCCGCGUGAGUGAAGAAGGUUUUCGGAUCGUAAAGCUCUGUUGUAAGAGAAGAACGGGUGUGAGAGUGGAAAGUUCACACUGUGACGGUAUCUUACCAGAAAGGGACGGCUAACUACGUG